rnacentral:lncRNA from 1 species
GAAAAAGUACAUUAAUAUUUAAAUAUCUAUUUUAAAAUAUAAAAUAUAGAUAUUACGUAAAUAAAAAUAUAAGAAAUGGAAAUAAACAUUUUUAAAAAUGGAAAAAGUACAUUAAGAUUUAAGCAUAUAUCUUAAAAUGUACUUCUAUCUUAAAAUGGUAGUAAAUUAUAUAAAAAUGGAAUUACCACAUUAAACCAAAAAAAAAUGUAUAGUUUUACAUCAAGAA